CUCCUAGGCUAUGAAGCCAUCCACCAGCCUUACCUAGGCACAGGCCAAUGCACUGCUGCCUGGGACAACAGGUCACUGCAGGACUGGCAUCACCCAAGAAUCCGAAGGACUCGGCUGAAUAAAGACCAUGAUCCGAAGUUAAAAGGAGUUUCAGGGUGGCAGGGAGACCAACGCAAGUCCCUCAAUGACCAACAGCCGACCUUAAGUUCACCACCAGAUGCUUCAUGACAAACUCACAAAGGCAAUAGCCACAAAGGGCCAACAACUUU
rnacentral:lncRNA from 10 species